UGGGGAAUAUUGCACAAUGGGCGAAAGCCUGAUGCAGCAACGCCGCGUGAGUGAUGAAGGUCUUCGGAUUGUAAAGCUCUGUCUUUUGGGACGAUAAUGACGGUACCAAAGGAGGAAGCCACGGCUAACUACGUGCCAGCAGCCGCGGUAAUACGUAGGUGGCGAGCGUUGUCCGGAUUUACUGGGCGUAAAGGGUGCGUAGGCGGAUGUUUAAGUGAGAUGUGAAAUACCCGGGCUUAACUUGGGUGCUGCAUUUCAAACUGGAUAUCUAGAGUGCAGGAGAGGAGAAUGGAAUUCCUAGUGUAGCGGUGAAAUGCGUAGAGAUUAGGAAGAACACCAGUGGCGAAGGCGAUUCUCUGGACUGUAACUGACGCUGAGGCACGAAAAGCGUGGGUAGCAAACAGGAUUAGAUACCCUGGUAGUCCACGCCGUAAAACGAUGAGUACUAGGUGUAGGAGGUAUCGACCCCUUCUGUGCCGCAGUAAAACACAUUAAGUACUCCGCCUGGGAAGUACGAUCGC
rnacentral:rRNA from 1 species